rnacentral:rRNA from 1 species
CACGUAAGGGGCAAGCGUUGUUCGGAUUUAUUGGGCGUAAAGGGCGUGUAGGCGGUGAUAUAAGUCUGGUGUUAAAUACCUCGGCUCAACCGAGGAGGUGCGCUGGAAACUGUGUUACUAGAGUGAUGGAGGGGGAGCUGGAAUUCCUGGUGUAGGGGUGAAAUCUGUAGAGAUCAGGAAGAACACCGGAGGCGAAGGCGAGCUCCUGGCCAUUAACUGACGCUGAGGCGCGAAAGCGUGGGGAGCGAACAGGAUUAGAUACCCCAGUA